GGGUCAGUAGGUUGGUCGUGCCACCGGUACGUACUGGUCUCACUGAUUCCUCCUUCCUGAAGAACCGUAACGCCAUUAAUUUGGUGUUGCGGGGAAUCAGGACUGUUACUUUGAAAAAAUUAGAGUGUUUAAAGCAAGCUAACGCUUGAAUACAUUAGCAUGGAACAAUGAAAUAGGACGAUCGAUCCUGUUUUGUUGGUUUCUAGGAUUGACGUA
rnacentral:rRNA from 1 species